rnacentral:rRNA from 1 species
AAUGAACGCUGGCGGCGUGCUUAACACAUGCAAGUCGAACGAGAAAGUUUCCUUCGGGAAAUGAGUAGAGUGGCGCACGGGUGAGUAACACGUGGGUAAUCUACCCUUCAAUUUGGGAUAACAUCGCGAAAGUGAUGCUAAUACCGGAUAACAUCCAGAGGUCUACGGAUCUUUGGAUCAAAGAUGGCCAAUCCUUGGAAGCUAUUGUUGAGGGAUGAGUCCGCGUACCAUUAGCUAGUUGGUAGGGUAAAGGCCUACCAAGGCGACGAUGGUUAGCUGGUCUGAGAGGAUGAUCAGCCACACUGGAACUGACACACGGUCCAGACUCCUACGGGAGGCAGCAGUGAGGAAUUUUGCGCAAUGGGGGAAACCCGUGACGCAGCAACGCCGCGUGAGUGAUGAAGGCCCUUGGGUCGUAAAACUCUGUCAGCAGGGAAGAAGUUAUAUAUGGUUAAUACCCAUGUAUAUUGACAGUACCUGC